rnacentral:lncRNA from 1 species
AGAUUAAACUAAAUGCUUGCAAAUAUCAUUAAUAGGUUAACAUACCCUUCUGAACAUGUCAUCAUGUCAGCCUCUCUGUCAUUUUAAGAUGGAGCAGUGUCUGUCUCCAAGUCUCUCCUCUGUUUCUUAAUAUUUAAAAGUACAACUAUUUAUACCUUAGGUGUCUCCAUUUUAAGGUUACUGUAGUUCAUAUAUGAAAAAGUAACACUUCUUUUACUUUAUUCAUUUUAGGACCUCCCUUAAUUUGGCAAACAUACAAGGCCAUAACUAAAGGGUGCAUACGUCAUGGAAAUUUUCCUGACUUUGUUCAAGAUGGCAUCUUAAAGUCUGAAUAGCUUAUCUGUUGUUUAUACUAAGUUGUAAGUGCACAGUCGUGGGAGAUUCCCAGAUUUGGGGAAGUUCCAUUAACUUGGGGUUACAACAGUAUAUUGUGUACUGAAAGAGUUGUAGUAUAGCCUUGAAGCUUGUUUAUGCAUAAUCGUUAUUGUAAUUUAUCUGGGACAAAAUGGCGCAAACAUAUUAUGCACUGAGGUUAUUGCUUAAAGAAACAUCUAUGAAAAACAAUAUGUUCCAUUUCUAACACCUUGUCAAUCUGCAAUAUCUCUUAAAGACAAAGUACACAGUUUAAGAAAUACAACAUUUCAUUCUAAAACUUGUAAUAUUUGCAUUGUCCCAUAACAACCUUCUCAACAUGGCCGCAAUACGCAGCUAACUCCGGUUUAUCGAUUCCGGUUUCCGUCCUAAUCAGCAGUUGUCACUUCCAGUUUCGUCAUUGCGGCGCCAUAUCCGGCGGCCGCAUAGUGACGUAUUCAUGUUCGUCAAGGGGAGGGGUAGGCGGAAUACAUCCCAGUAUAAUUUAAAGUCCAUACAGAGACCAUAUUUGAAGAGGGAAAGAAUAAGGGCAACAGAAGAAUCAAAUUGUUAGAUAUUAAUUCAGUCAGAAUAUGACAUAUUAUCACAGGAAAUAGAAAGUGAGAUGUAAACUAUAUAUAUAAAAUGCUGACAGUUAAAACUAAAAUAUAAAAUAAAAAAAGAUAAAAGAUAAAACAUAUCACUCAACAGAAUUUAGCUAUUUAGGACAUAUUGCAUAAAUGAUAUACAUUAAGCAAAUAAUAAUUAUAGGACAUACAAAUAAAAGUGUAAAAGAUAAUUGGGACUAGAAAUAAAAAGUUGUUUUAAAUUAUAAAAUGGGACCUAUCUCAAAGUCAAUAUUUAAUCCUUUAGGACAUAAUGUUUGGAGCUCUAAAAUCCAACUAGAUUCCUUUUUAUUUAGAUUAAAUGCAGUAUUCCCUCCUUUCCAAUGGGUUUAAACCUGCUGUAUUGCUGUAAAUUCUAUUUCAUCAGGAUUUUAAUUGAUUAAAAAAAAUGAUUAGACACACUAUGAUUUACAAAACCAUUUUUUAUAUUUCUAACAUGUUCGUACAUCCUUGCCUUUAGGGGUCUAGAGGGUUUACCUAUGUAUUGUAAGCCACAGGUACAUUGUAAUAAAUAUGAGAUUUCUAGAGUCACAUGUAAUAAAAUAAUUCUUAUUAAACCUUUUUUUAGUUAUGUUAGAUACAAAGUUAUUUUUCUUUUUUAUGCUCACUUUAGUGUUUUUGCAGGCAUAACAGUUCCCACAAUGAUAAAAUCCCUUCGCUGUCUUAGACCAAUUGAUUAAAACAUUUACUGUCCACUUCCUGUUUCUCUACAUAAUUAGAUGUUAAAAUCUGCUUAAAGUUUUUUGCCCCUCUAAAAAUAAACUUGGGGUUAUCGCCAAUAAAUUCGUGGACAUCGUGGUGUUGAUUUAAAAUGUUCCAAUUUUUCUUUAUAAUCCUUUUCAAUGACCCUAUAUUACGGCAGUAAUCAAAAAUCAACGGGAUUUGCUUGGUUUGUAUAUUUUGAUCCCUCUUUUUAUAAUUUAAUAACUGGGGUCUAUCCAAAUCUUUUACGUUAUCUAUGUCUUACUGAAGUUUUUCUUCACAAAGAGUUGUUUUCAAAUUGACGACUGUGCAUUAAAAUCAAUGUGGUCUGAGCAGUUUCUUUUUAAUCUUAAAAAUUGACCCUUGGGGAUAUUCUGAAGCCACGGAUCAUAAUGACAGCUGCUAGUUUCUAUGAAACUGUUUACGUCCACUUGUUUAAAAAAAGUUUGGGUCUUAAAAUGUUGUUCAGAAACAUAAAUAUUAAGAUCCAAAAAGUCUAUAGUUUCUGGGCUUACACACUUCGUAAGAUUAAUCCUCCAUUCAUUAAGAUUUAGGUAAUUAAAAAAAUUAAAAUCUGCUUCAGCUAUGUCCCUGGUGUAUGAACAAAUUUUCCCAGGACAUAAAUAAGUUGGCAUAACUGGGGGCAAACCUGGUCCCCAUAGCAUUGCCUCUAGUUUGCAGAGCUGCAGACUGGAGCGUUAACCCACCGGGGAGAGACACUGGACCACCAGGGAAUUUAAUAAAGGCAGGACCCAGCCCCCUCCCCACACUGUAACC